AACGAACGCUGGCGGCGCGCCUAAUACACGCAAGUCGAGCGAGAAGACGUAGCAAUACGUUUGUAAAGCGGCGAACGGGUGAGGAAUACAUGGGUAACCUACCCUCGAGUGGGGAAUAACUAGCCGAAAGGUUAGCUAAUACCGCGUACGCUCCUUGGACUUCGGUUCAGGGAGGAAAGCGAUACCGUGGGUAUCGCGCUCUUGGAUGGGCUCAUGUCCUAUCAGCUUGUUGGUGAGGUAACGGCUCACCAAGGCUUCGACGGGUAGCUGGUCUGAGAGGACAAUCAGCCACACUGGCACUGCGACACGGGCCAGACUCCUACGGGAGGCAGCAGUAAGGAAUAUUGCGCAAUGGGCGAAAGCCUGACGCAGCGACGCCGCGUGGGGGAUGAAGGUCUUCGGAUUGUAAACCCCUUUCGGGAGGGAAGAUGGAACGAGCAAUCGUUCGGACGGUACCUCCAGAAGCAGCCACGGCUAACUUCGUGCCAGCAGCCGCCGU
rnacentral:rRNA from 1 species